UAUGAGUAAUUCAUAUCAUUAUAUAUAUAUAUAUAUAUAUAUAUAUAUUAGUUGUUAAACAUAGGGCAUCAUUAAGCUGUUUUGCCCGGGGCAUUAAAAACCUUUGGACCGGCCUUGUUGACAUUGUAUGUGUGGAUAUGGUGUUGGAAAACCUUUCUUUCAUGCUAUGUUCUUGAUUAUGGCGUGUGGAGUUCUUGGAUGUCAUUAGCAAAAGGUAUGGCUCCAUGGUCAAGAUUUCUCACAGUUUACUCACACACACAUGCACUCACAUGUUUUAUUUUUUUUCCUAUUCUCUUAACAUUUCAUGGUUUUUUUUUUAUCUUUCUAAAUAAUAUUCCUUCACCCACACAAUUUAUCCUCUUUUGAGUCCUACUCACAUAGUCAAUGUGCAUUAACUCAGUUUCUUAAAAGAUCAAAAACUAUGCCUCAACAAAUUAUUCACAGGAGACUUAAUCAAUUGAAAUUUCUGGAUUUAGAAGCCAAUUCAUCGGUUUCCACGACAAUUUGUUCAAUUUGACACAAUUAUUUGGGAAACAUGUAAUCAAAUACAAUUUACGAUUAUCAAUUCAUGAUGCAAACUUGGUCCUUGGAAUUAUUUGCGCAGUUGCCAUCACAGCCAUGGACAAACUCAGAUCACUAAGAAGACAUCAAAAACUUGUGAUCCGAACCCGAAACCAUACCAUUACAAUCAAAUCCACAACCACACUGUGGUGAUUCCAGAAAAUUACUCACCUCAAAUCCGGCCGCUAGGAUUCCGACUGAGAAAUUGAUUUGAUCGCCGACAUGAGUCACCUCCACGAUGUUCAACCACACCACCAGUAUUUUGACGUUUAUCCCCUUAAGAUUUUUCAGCUUCCCUUUCUCUAUCACGCCGCUAAUCGUUGACUUGUACUUGAUAUCGUAGCCCUGAAUUUUGAAAGAACAGGUCUCUUUCAUGUAUGCCUUGAACUCUCCGGUCUCUUUGUUCAGAUCGUAGCCUGUGACGCCUUUCGGAAGAAGGCCAACCGGAAAAUCGUACUCCAAUAGCUCAUCGUAUGCUGUAGGCGUAUCGGAGGCAGCGGAGGAAAUUAAGUGGAGAAGCAGGAAGAACGAUGAUAGAAGAAGAAAGCGAGUUGGCGGAGGAGAUGAACUGGUAAUCCGCCAGAGAAGAUCUGACCUCAUCUUCGUCUCAUCAACUCCUUGCGUUUCUGUCUCGACUUCAUCCAUAUAGUUAGAGUUACUUCUGUCCUGUAUUCAUCUUAUUUCUUUUUUUUUUUUAGUUAAAUAACAUUGUACUCAAUUAUUAUUAUUUCAUUAAAUCAUUAGAUAUAUGAUUUUCUGUGACAAACAUUUUAUUUUCUUUUAUCUAAAUGCUUAUAGAUAACAAGGGCGUGUUUGGAUAGGAAAAAAAAGAUGUGUUUAUUGCUUAUUCCACAAUAAGCUAAUUUGAGUGUUUGGAUAAAAUCCAGUUUAUUAAGCUAAAUAAGCUAAUUUUAAUAAGCAUCUCUCCUCAUUCUUAUUAUUUAUUCCCACCACAAAUAAACUAUAAACAAUAAGCUAAAAAGCUAAUCCAAACACCCCGUGUUUGUACCAAUAACACUUUUGACUUAUUUAUCCACAAAAUGUAGUUAAAUUAUUUUGUACAUGCAUUUUGUGUUUGAAAGUAUGUUAUUUAAUGUGAUGAAAUGACAACCAAUAAUCUAGGUUGUUUUUUCAAGUCAUUUAUCUUUUAAUACUAGUAUUCAACAUGUCAACAAGCUUUUUUUAGGUUCUUUACAUCAUUAGAGUAGAUUUUUAAGGAUACAAUUUUGUCAUAGUUGAUGUCACAAUAGACCCCAUGUCAUCUUGAGAUAGACAUACGUGAACAAUUUAUGUCAUAUUAAAUGCUACAUCGAACGACACAGAAUUAUAUAUCAGUUUAUUCAGUUGAAAUUCAUUCCAAUGGUAUAAUUAGAACCCCAAAAAAAAUUGUUUAUUGGUCUGUUGAGUAUUAACAAAACCUUGGUGACCCAAAGAGUAUAAAUUUACAAAGUAACAUAAAACAUAAAUGAUAAAAGUUUUCAAAAACUAUUUUAAUUAUGUCAUGGGUCAUGUCAGUUUCCCUGAAUUAAUUUUGUUGUUUAAUUAGAAUGUACUGGAUUGAGAGACACUAGAAGCAUAAUUUGUCAAUAAUCAUAUAUAAUUGUUAUAAAGUUGUCUCCUCAAACAGCUAGACAUUGAUUAACUUAUCUGGAAGCACAAGGCAUAUCCUUUGGAGCAUCUUUGUAAUCGUAAAAGCAUAUCUGGUGGGCAAUUUGUCGGAUUCUAAGUUGCACAUUUUUUGUUAACAAAGUAGUUAUAGGCAAAACAUGUAAUUAGCUUAACUUUAACAGACAAGUAACUCGUGAUAUUAGUUCAUUACUAAUGAUACGCAUAUAAGAAUAAAGAAUUUGACACAAAUCUGUUUUUUUUUUUUUUAACUUUACUUACAACCUAUUAAUGAGCGCAUUUUUAUACUGGGACUAGUCCAAGAAACAAAAUUAAUCACACAACCACAACCACAACCAACAAAUAUGAAUUGCUCCAAACCAUCUUUUGCACUAACACCACUCCUUUGAGAUCUCUUCAAGUGACACCUGAGUUCAUGAUACACAUCUAUAACAGUUAGAAGCCUGCAACUCAUCUAGCUAAAAAUCUAGAAGUUUUCUCCAUAGCAUACAGAACAAGAAUCAGGUAUCUAAGGACAUGUUCAAGCAACUAGUAAGAAAAGCUAAAGUUCCAAAAAAAAUGUAAACUAUAUGAAAUAAAGGCAAAGAGAAAGAUACCUGGGAAUUUUGAAGAAAGUAGAGUAGACACAGGGUGUUAGUUGACAUCCUUGAGCCUCUUAAUU
rnacentral:lncRNA from 1 species